GGGAUAAAUGCUUUUUCUUUUUUUAAAAAGACCUAUUAAUGGGAUGCUUUAGGAGGGGUCUUGCCCAUUUUAGUUAGUUGUUAGGGUAAUGGCCUACCAAGACGAUUAUGGUUAGCUGGACUAAGAGCUCGAACACCCACAUUGGGUCUGAAACCCGGCCCAAAUUCCUACGGGAGGCAGCAGUAGGGAAUUUUUCGGCAAUGGAGGAAACUCUGACCGAGCAACGCCGCGUGAAUCACGAAGUACUUCGGUAUGUAAAGUUCUUUUAUCAAGGAAGAAAAGCAAAUGGCGAACCAUUUGUUUGCCGGUACUUGAUGAAUAAGCCCCGGCUAAUUAUGUGCCAGCAGCCGCGGUAAGACAUAAGGGGCAAGUGUUAUCCGGAAUUAUUGGGCGUAAAGGGUGCGUAGGCGGUCUAGUAAGUCAGUGGUGUAAUGGCAACGCUUAACGUUGUCCGGCUAUUGAAACUGCUAAACUUGAGUUAGAUAGAGGCGAGUGGAAUUCCAUGUGUAGCGGUAAAAUGCGUAAAUAUAUGGAGGAACACCAGAGGCGUAGGCGGCUCGCUGGGUCUUAACUGACGCUGAGGCACGAAAGCGUGGGGAGCAAACAGGAUUAGAUACCCUGGUAGUCCACGCCGUAAACGAUGAGUACUAAGUGUCGGGUUAAACCGGUACUGAAGUUAACACAUUAAGUACUCCGCCUGAGUAGUACGUACGCAAGUAUGAAACUUAAAGGAAUUGACGGGACUCCGCACAAGCGGUGGAUCAUGUUGUUUAAUUCGAAGAUACCCGAAAAACCUUACCAGGUCUUGACAUGUUUUUGCAAAAUGAUAGUAAUAUCGUGGAGGUUACCAGAAACACAGGUGGUGCAUGGUUGUCGUCAGCUCGUGUCGUGAGAUGUUAGGUUAAGUCCUAAAACGAGCGAAACCCUUAUCGUUAGUUGCCAGCACGUUAUGGUGGGGACUUUAACGAGACUGCCAAUGAUAAAUUGGAGGAAGGUGAGGAUCACGUCAAAUCAGCAUGCCCCUUAUGACCUGGGCUACAAACGUGAUACAAUGGCUGUUACAAAGGGUAGCUGAAACGCAAGUUCUUGGCCAAUCCCCAAAAACAGUCCCAGUCCGGAUUGAAGUCUGCAACUCGACUUCAU
rnacentral:rRNA from 1 species